rnacentral:rRNA from 1 species
UACGUAGGGGGCAAGCGUUGUCCGGAAUCAUUGGGCGUAAAGAGCGUGUAGGCGGCCUGGUAAGUCCGCUGUGAAAGUCCAGGGCUCAACCCUGGAAUGCCGGUGGAAACUGUCAGGCUCGAGUCCGGAAGAGGAGACUGGAAUUUACGGUGUAGCGGUGAAAUGCGUAGAUAUCGUAAGGAAGACCAGUGGCGAAGGCGGGUCUCUGGACAGUUCCUGACGCUGAGGCACGAAGGUCAGGGGAGCAAACGGG